GACGAACCGUCCAAACGUUAUUCGGAAUCACUGGGCUUAAAGGGUGCGUAGGCCGUCCGGAAAGUUGGGUGUGAAAGCCCUCGGCUCAACCGAGGAAUUGCGCUCAAAACUACCGGGCUAGAGGGAGAUAUAGGUGAGCGGAACUUAGGGUGGAGCGGUGAAAUGCGUUGAGAUCCUAAGGAACACCAGUAGCGAAAGCGGCUCACUGGGUCUCUUCUGACGCUGAGUGCACGAAAGCUAGGGUAGCGAAGAGG
rnacentral:rRNA from 1 species